rnacentral:rRNA from 1 species
AUGGCGAGGCAUUGCUUCCUCGCCGUGCUCCUCAUCGGGGUAGUAGCAGCCUCCACUUUCCACCAAGUAGCCACCGCUGGCCGAGGCCUUGCCGCCAUUGAGAAGUUUGCAGAGCCAGAGCCAAAGCCAGAACCCAAACCAGAGCCAGUGCCAAAAACUAUGCCGCACUCAGAGCCGGAGCCAUGCAAACCUGAACCGAUGCCCAAACCCAAACCAAAGCCUGGAUCCAAGCCUGAGCCCAAACGCAAGCCCAAGCCGAUGCCAAAACCGAAGCCAAAGCACAAGCCCGAGCCCUGCUCCAAACCAAAGCCAGAGCCUAAGCCCGAGCCAAUGCCGAAACCGGAAACAAAGCCGGAGCCCAAGCCUAAACCUGAACCGAAACCAAAGCCGCCUCCGAAGUGCAAACCACCGACAACUCACAUUUGA